rnacentral:tRNA from 5 species
GGCAGCGUAGCUCAAUGGAAGAGCGAUCGUUUCAUAAGCGAUAGGUUGCUGGUCCGAUUCCAGCCGCUGCUACAA